GUUCAUGCCGUAUUAAGGCGAAACCGCGAAUGGCUCAUUAAAUCAGUUAUGGUUCCUUGGAUCGUACUUUACUACUUGGAUAACUGUGGCAAUUCUAGAGCUAAUACAUGCAGCAGAGCUCCGACGCCCCUCGGGGCGGACGAGCGCUUUUAUUAGACCAAAACCGAUCGGGGUUCAUUCUCCGUUUCGCGUGGUGACUCUGAAUAACUYUGGGCCGAUCGCACGGGCUUCGUCCCGGCGACGUAUCCUUCAAGUGUCUGCCUUAUCAACUGUCGACGGUAGUUUAAUCGCCUACCGUGGUUUUUACGGGUAACGGGGGAUCAGGGUUCGAUUCCGGAGAGGGAGCCUGAGAAACGGCUACCACAUCCAAGGAAGGCAGCAGGCGCGCAAAUUACCCACUCCCGGCACGGGGAGGUAGUGACGAAAAAUAACGAUACGGGACUCUUUCGAGACCCCGUAAUCGGAAUGAGUACGCUCUAAAUCCGCUAACGACGAACCAUUGGAGGUAAAGUCUGGUGCCAGCAUCCGCGGUAACUCCAGCUCCAAUAGCGUAUAUUAAAGUUGUUGCGGUUAAAAAGCUCGUAGUUGGAUCUGAGUCUCUGCCCGGCGGUCUGCCCCUUCCCGGGGCAGCCUACUGCCGCGACUGCGGGACGUCUGCCGGCUUCCGCCGAUGAUCUUCACCGGUUGUCGGUGGCAGGCCGGCGAGUUUACUUUGAAAAAAUUAGAGUGCUCAAAGCAGGCGCGACGCCUGAAUAAUGGUGCAUGGAAUAAUGGAAUAGGACCUCGGUUCUAUUUUGUUGGUUUUUAGGAACACGAGGUAAUGAUAAGA
rnacentral:rRNA from 1 species